GCUGUCCCGCACGCACCAGCACCACGGGCACAGCUGCCAUGCUGCACCUGUGACGUCGGGGCAGAGAGCAAGUGGCUAUUUCUACGCUCAGUGUUCAGAAGCCAGUGAGCACUAAGAAUGGUUUAUAGCCUAACAUUU
ensembl:snoRNA